GAUGAACGCUGGCGGCGUGCUUAACCCCUGCAAGUCGACCGGUGAAGCCGAGCUUUCUCUGUGGCUCCGUGUCGCACGGGUGAGUAACCCGUUAGCAACCUGCCCCUGACUCUGGGAUAAGCGCUGGCACCGGCGUCUAAUCCUGUAUAUUCGCUGCUACCGCAUGGUCAGCAGUUGGCACGCUUUUUCGGUCUGGGAUGGGCUCACGGCCUAUCAGCUUGUUGGUGAGGUAAUGGCUCACCAAGGCGUCGACGGGUAGCCGGCCGGAGAGGGGGACCGGCAACACUGGGAAGGAGAGACGGCGUAGACGGGUACGGGAGGGAGCAGUGGGGAAGAGGGGACAAGGGGCGAAAGCCUGAUGCAGCAACGCCGCGUGAGGGAUGACGGACUGCGGGGUGGAAACCUAUUUGAGCAGGGAAGAAGCGAAAGUGACGGGACCUGCAGAAAAAGCGCAGGCGAACUACGGG
rnacentral:rRNA from 1 species